CAGCAGCCACGGUAAUACAGAGGGUGCGAGCGUUAAUCGGAUUUACUGGGCGUAAAGCGUGCGUAGGCGGCUUCUUAAGUCGGAUGUAAAAUCCCUGAGCUUAACUUAGGAAUUGCAUUCGAUACUGGGAAGCUAGAGUAUGGGAGAGGAUGGUAGAAUUCCAGGUGUAGCGGUGAAAUGCGUAGAGAUCUGGAGGAAUACCGAUGGCGAAGGCAGCCAUCUGGCCUAAUACUGACGCUGAGGUACGAAAGCAUGGGGAGCAAACAGGAUUAGAUACCCCAGUAGUCCCUGUCUCUUAUAC
rnacentral:rRNA from 1 species